AUUGAACGCUGGCGGCAGGCCUAACACAUGCAAGUCGAGCGAGCGGCGGACGGGUGAGUAAUGUAUGGGGACUGCCCGAUAGAGGGGGGUAACUACUGGAAACGGUAGCUAAUACCGCAUACUAUCGGAUAACCCAUAUGGGAUUAGCUAGUUGGUGAGGUAAUGGCUCACCAAGGCGACGAUCCCUAGCUGGUCUGAGAGGAUGAUCAGCCACACUGGGACUGAGACACGGCCCAGACUCCGACGGAGGCAGCAGUGGGGAAUAUUGCACAAUGGGCGCAAGCCUGAUGCAGCCAUGCCGCGUGUAUGAAGAAGGCCCUAGGGUUGUAAAGUACUUUCAGUCGGGAGGCGUUAACUACAGAAGAAGCACCGGCUAACUCCGUGCCAGCCGCCGCGGUAAUAC
rnacentral:rRNA from 1 species